rnacentral:rRNA from 1 species
CCUACGGGAGGCAGCAGUGGGGGAUAUUGCACAAUGGGGGGAACCCUGAUGCAGCGACGCCGCGUGGGUGAAGGAGCGUUUCGGAGCGUAAAGCCCUAUCGGCAGGGAAGAAGGAGGACGGUACCUGACUAAGAAGCCCCGGCUAACUACGUGCCAGCAGCCGCGGUAAUACGUAGGGGACAAGCGUUAUCCGGAUUUACUGGGUGUAAAGGGGGCGCAGACGGCAGCGCAAGCCAGGAGUGAAAGCCCGGGGCCCAACCCCGGGACUGCUCUUGGAACUGCGCGGCUGGAGUGCAGGAGGGGCAGGCGGAAUUCCUGGUGUAGCGGUGAAAUGCGUAGAUAUCAGGAGGAACACCGGUGGCGAAGGCGGCCUGCUGGACUGCGACUGACGUUGAGGCCCGAAAGCGUGGGGAGCAAACAGGAUUAGAUACCCUGGUAGUC